rnacentral:rRNA from 1 species
UACGUAGGGUGCAAGCGUUGUCCGGAAUUAUUGGGCGUAAAGAGCUCGUAGGCGGUCUGUCGCGUCGAAUGUGAAAACCCGGGACUCAACUCCGGGCCUGCAUUCGAUACGGGCAGACUAGAGUUCGGUAGGGGAGACUGGAAUUCCUGGUGUAGCGGUGAAAUGCGCAGAUAUCAGGAGGAACACCGGUGGCGAAGGCAGGUCUCUGGGCCACUACUGACGCUGAGAAGCGAAAGCAUGGGGAGCGAACAGG